UACGAAGGGGGCUAGCGUUGCUCGGAAUUACUGGGCGUAAAGGGCGCGUAGGCGGCCUUCUAAGUCGAACGUGAAAUCCCCGGGCUCAACCCGGGAACUGCGUCCGAUACUGGAAGGCUUGAAUCCGGGAGAGGGAUGCGGAAUUCCAGGUGUAGCGGUGAAAUGCGUAGAUAUCUGGAGGAACACCGGUGGCGAAGGCGGCAUCCUGGACCGGCAUUGACGCUGAGGCGCGAAAGCCAGGGGAGCAAACGGG
rnacentral:rRNA from 1 species